ACUGCAGAUGUCGCUCGUGCUGUUCCGUGCGCGAUGCUUCGUCGUUAUAGACAUGAGCGUUGAACACUGUAUGUGAGCCUCCAGCAUUUCGCCUUCACCGAGUUGCUUCUGUCGCCGUCGGCAUCGAAUCCAUUACUCUCAGAUCUUGAAAGGGACGUCACGAAGGACAUUUUUUGUUUGUGAAGGAUUUCUAGCAGUAUACCCGGCCGAGGGGAGAAGCAGUGGUGAAAGGGGUGAUGCCACAGCGUAUCGUCAUGCAAAAGGAGGAGGAAGGACAAGGAGGUUAGCCAUAACAUGCAAGAGCACGCCCCACGGAAGCUAUUAGCUCCGAAAAAUUGGAGUGGCACCACCUGGUGAUAUGCCUGGAUGACGUCCCGGCAAGGAUGCUUCGACGUGUACUGAAGCGUGCCUACUUAACAUGCGCUCGCAUCGUACUUUCUUCUGCUUUUCGCUUGACUCAAGCUUGAGAUGAAUGGCGAAAUAAGCAUUGAUAAUGCUCCUAAUAAAACGACGAAAAACUCU